GGGUACCUGCCUCAUACAGGGGAGUAACAGUUGGAAACGGACUGCUAAUACCGCAUAAGCGCACAGUACCGCGUGGUACGGUGUGAAAAACUACCGGUGGUAUGAGAUGGACCCGCGUCUGAUUAGGUAGUUGGUGGGGUAACGGCCGUACCAAGCCGACGAUCAGUAGCCGACCUGAGAGGGUGACCGGCCACAUUGGGACUGAGACACGGCCCAA
rnacentral:rRNA from 1 species